AGACACGGCCCAGACUCCUACGGGAGGCAGCAGUGGGGAAUAUUGCACAAUGGGCGCAAGCCUGAUGCAGCCAUGCCGCGUGUGUGAAGAAGGCCUUCGGGUUGUAAAGCACUUUCAGUCAGGAGGAAAGGUUAGUAGUUAAUACCUGCUAGCUGUGACGUUACUGACAGAAGAAGCACCGGCUAACUCCGUGCCAGCAGCCGCGGUAAUACGGAGGGUGCGAGCGUUAAUCGGAAUUACUGGGCGUAAAGCGUACGCAGGCGGUUUGUUAAGCGAGAUGUGAAAGCCCCGGGCUCAACCUGGGAACUGCAUUUCGAACUGGCAAACUAGAGUGUGAUAGAGGGUGGUAGAAUUUCAGGUGUAGCGGUGAAAUGCGUAGAGAUCUGAAGGAAUACCGAUGGCGAAGGCAGCCACCUGGGUCAACACUGACGCUCAUGUACGAAAGCGUGGGGAGCAAACAGGAUUAGAUACCCUGGUAGUCCACGCCGUAAACGAUGUCUACUAGAAGCUCGGAGCCUCGGUUCUGUUUUUCAAAGCUAACGCAUUAAGUAGACCGCCUGGGGAGUACGGCCGCAAGGUUAAAACUCAAAUGAAUUGACGGGGGCCCGCACAAGCGGUGGAGCAUGUGGUUUAAUUCGAUGCAACGCGAAGAACCUUACCUACACUUGACAUACAGAGAACUUACCAGAGAUGGUUUGGUGCCUUCGGGAACUCUGAUACAGGUGC
rnacentral:rRNA from 1 species